UACGGAAGGGGGCUAGCGUUGCUCGGAAUCACUGGGCGUAAAGCGCACGUAGGCGGCUUUCUAAGUCAGGGGUGAAAUCCUGGAGCUCAACUCCAGAACUGCCUUUGAUACUGGAGAGCUUGAGUCCGGAAGAGGUGAGUGGAACUGCGAGUGUAGAGGUGAAAUUCGUAGAUAUUCGCAAGAACACCAGUGGCGAAGGCGGACUCACUGGCCCGGUACUGACGCUGAGGUGCGAAAGCGUGGGGAGCAACAGG
rnacentral:rRNA from 1 species